GCGAGAUUCAGAUCGGCCCAGAGGAGCACUUGUGUUUCCCCGGGAAGUGACAGGGUCUUCUAUGCAGCUCUGCCCACUUCCGGUGCUGCUCCGCACAUCUGCCGCGUGCUGUCCGGGGCAUCUGGCUGCCUCCCCGCGUAUGUCUACAUCGUGCUGUUUGUUUCGAGCCGAGUCCACAAUGCUGACCUUUUCCGAAAUCCUUUAGCUCUGGAGCUGACCAUGCUGCCCAGAGGAACGUGGCUGGACUGUGGGUGAGGCGAGAAGGCUGCGUUGAACUUCCCGGGGCUGCUGAUUUUCUCCCGACUUUAGGAUGUGGGUUUCUUCCUCUUUUUCCUGGCUCUUCUCACAUCUGAAAAUGUGCUGAACAAGUAGACAGAUGAGACUCCUCCUUUUUUUAAGACAGGGCCUUGCUAUGCAGUUCAGCCUGGCCUUGAACUCCACUGUGUAGCCCAGGUGGGCCUCAAACUCAUGGCAAUCCUCCUGCCUCGCCUCCUGAGUGCUGAGUUGACAGGAUUGGAAGCCAGGGGCUCCAGCUCUGCCUCUGGAGACUUGGAAGGGAAGGUUUGGGACCAUCCCUGUGACCUGAGCACAGUGAGCUCGUCUAAAGCGACAUCUGUGCUGCUCGCUGUCCAGAUGGGUCAUCUCUCCAGCAAUUUCCCAUGUGCUGAGCUCUGGGAAGAUCAUUAGUGAGACCUAGAACAGCUCACUUGGGCACACAGAGUUCAGCCUUGAAAUGUGUGGAAAAGAGCAGAGAUAACCUCUGGCUGCUGCUUGUACCUGGUGAGGAAAACUUACCCCAUUGUACUGUAAACACCGACUGGAGAGCUAACUAAAAACGGUGAGAUAACCUCUGCUCUGGGACAAAGGAGGAUAGGAGUCAACCCCGAGUGUGGUUAGACAACAUCUACACCGCUCAAUCAAGAAAGAGCAAUUCAAGCACAAUUUGUAGUUAAUUAACCACCAGAAGAAUUGGCUGAAAAACUUAUAAAUGGUCAUCUCUUUCACCAAGGAGAUGGGAGAAGACAAAGGACCCUUGCUUACAUUCUAAGCUCUCUGUCUGCCAAAUAUGAUUUUUUUAAAAAAUUAGGUGCCUAAUUUACUUUGUUAAAAGUGAGAAAUAUGUAUAUCUUUACACCUGUGGAGCUAAACAAAUAAAGCUAAAGGUAGCAUCUGUAUGAUUACCUGAAGUAUUGUUCAGUGUUACAAAUUACGUGGUGUUUGCGGGGGGAAAGGAUAACAUUGAAGUUUGUCAACUCUUGGAUGAAGUAAAGGAAACAUUGCG
ensembl:lncRNA